GAACACCGCAGUGAGUAAUCACCGCGGUGUGUCUAGUGGCGAACGGGUGAGUAACACGUGAGGAACCUGCCCCGGAGACCGGAAUAGCCCAGGGAAACUUGGAUUAAUACCGGAUACCCUCGACGCUCCACAUGAAGCGACGAGGAAAUGGUCAGCCGCUCCGGGAUGGCCUCGCGCCCUAUCAGCUUGUUGGUGAGGUAACGGCUCACCAAGGCUCUGACGGGUAGCUGGUCUGAGAGGACGAUCAGCCACACUGGGACUGAGACACGGCCCAGACUCCUACGGGAGGCAGCAGCAGGGAAUAUUGCACAAUGGGCGAAAGCCUGAUGCAGCGACGCCGCGUGGGGGAUGAAUGCCUUCGGGUUGUAAACCCCUUUCAGGAGGGACGAAGCGAAAGUGACGGUACCUCCAGAAGAAGCCCCGGCCAACUACGUGCCAGCAGCCGCGGUAAUACGUAGGGGGCGAGCGUUGUCCGGAUUUAUUGGGCGUAAAGAGCUCGUAGGCGGCUCAGCAAGUCGGCCGUGAAAGCCCAGGGCUCAACCCUGGGACGCCGGUCGAAACUGCUGUGGCUAGGGUCCGGUAGAGGAGAGUGGAAUUCCCGGUGUAGCGGUGAAAUGCGCAGAUAUCGGGAGGAACACCAGUAGCGAAGGCGGCUCUCUGGGCCGGUACCGACGCUGAGGAGCGAAAGCUAGGGGAGCAAACAGGAUUAGAUACCCUGGUAGUCCUAGCCGUAAACGUUGGACACUAGGUGUGGCGGAUUCAUUGACGUCUGCCGUGCCGAAGCUAACGCAUUAAGUGUCC
rnacentral:rRNA from 1 species